AAACUCAGCAAAGCAAGACUUCUUGGAGCUCCACAUGCAGAUGCACUGUCCUGUACGUUGCGAACCAAACAACAGGUAUACAGUGUCCUGGUAAAUGGUCAAUCUUCCCUAAAAAGUCUGACACAUUUUAUAAAUAGAACACCCUUUGCUGUGAUUCUUCUCAUUAUCCCAGACACUUGACAGACUUCACCCUAGCCUCUUCCAUUCUCAACAUUUUUGAUUUUCUCAUACCCGCCCUUGCGGCCCUCUCCAGCAUUUUCACCGGCCACCAGACAUCACCGUUCCGCCACCAUAUAUACACCACCACCGUUACACCUUUAGACCCAAAAUAGCGGCCAUACGAAGGAAGGCGCUAUAUGCUCGGUGUUGUACAGUGGAGUGGCCAGGAGCUGUUGCCGUACGGUGGUGGUCGUUCAAGGCUGUGCGCUGUUGGUAGUUAACGCCCAAAAGGAAGAAAACACUACGCUCGCUGUAUUAGACCUCCGAUGGCAGAUAGCCGGAAACUACUUUGGCCCAAACAAAAAUACGGUGCAUCUGACCUCGAGAAUAAGCGGUUUUGGGAAUAUUAGGAAUAGAGGUUUUGAUAGAUGGAGCAGAACUCUCCAUGUCUCAAGACUAUGGCAUUUUUUGAGGUGAGAGCUAGACCCACUGCCUCUAUGCUUUUUGUCCCAUCUCAAGCGGAUUGGAGUCCAUAAUUUUGAGGGAUCUAGAAAGCAGUUGUUUGCUGUGAAGAUUUUGCUCACGAAUGCCGAUGUUUUAGAUUAAAUAAUUAUAUUUUGCUCAGAUAGCUUAGUAGGGAUCUUGGUGAAGCAAGAAAUCUCUACAAACAAUUGAUAGAGAUCCCUAAAGCAUCACAAAAUUGUGAAAUCCUUCACUUUGAACAAGAUAUAACUAGAAGAGACUCAAGAAAAUUAGUUUGUUUUAGCUGUUAAACUGUCAGUUUUUUCUAUUUUCUUCGUUAUGUUAGCUUCAUCUCUAAGUUUGAUCUUAUAUAAAGGUGAGGGAGAGAACUAUAGAUUGAAAUGUUAAUUGUUCACUUGAUCUUAUAUAAAGGUGAGGGAGAGAACUAUAGAUUGAAAUGUUAAUUGUUCACUUGUGAACUUGGGGAUUGGCACUAUCGAACUUGCUAUAUCAUGUCAGUUUUUUUGAAUACAAUUGUAACAUUUCAGGGUCUUAUAUUGGGAAGAGAUGAAUUGCUUAU